AUGCUGCUCUCUCCACUGGCUCCCUCCACGUCUCCUGGCUCCCUGACCACUUGGCUCCACCACUGCUUUCUUUACCCUUUAGGAUGCUUCCACCGUCCAAAGCUGGACCACUCUCCUUCUCCACAGUGCCAGAGGUGCCUCACAAGAAAGGAAUACAAUUCAGACAGAAAUUUGUCAAGAAGACCCGCAGAGGCUGAAGAAAUAACAUCACAAAUCAUGAGUCUACCCAAGGGCACGUCUGUUCCCAAGAAUUUAUCUUUGGUUUUGCUACCCAGAAGAAAAAGAAGACCCUGGUGGCACUGUGUGCUCAUAAAACAAAAGAGAAGAAAUAAAUUAUGA
rnacentral:lncRNA from 1 species